rnacentral:rRNA from 1 species
GACGAACGCUGGCGGCGUGCCUAAUACAUGCAAGUCGAGCGAAGUUUUUCUGGUGCUUGCACCGGAAAAACUUAGCGGCAAACGGGUGAGUAACACGUAAAGAACCUGCCUCAUAGACUGGGACAACUAUUGGAAACGAUAGCUAAUACCGGAUAACAGCAUUAACUGCAUGGUUGAUGUUUAAAAGUUGGUUUUGCUAACACUAUGAGAUGGCUUUGCGGUGCAUUAGCUAGUUGGUGGGGUAAAGGCCUACCAAGGCGACGAUGCAUAGCCGACCUGAGAGGGUGAUCGGCCACACUGGGACUGAGACACGGCCCAGACUCCUACGGGAGGCAGCAGUAGGGAAUCUUCCGCAAUGGGCGAAAGCCUGACGGAGCAACGCCGCGUGAGUGAAGAAGGAUUUCGGUUCGUAAAGCUCUGUUGUUAGGGAAGAAUGAUUGUGUAGUAACGAUACACAGUAGAGACGGUACCUAACCAGAAAGCCACGGCUAACUACGUG